rnacentral:rRNA from 1 species
AGUGAACGCUGGCGGUAGGCCUAACACACGCAAGUCGAACGGCAGCACAGAGGAGCUUGCUCCUUGGGUGGCGAGUGGCGGACGGGUGAGGAAUACAUCGGAAUCUACUUUUUCGUGGGGGAUAACGUAGGGAAACUUACGCUAAUACCGCAUACGACCUACGGGUGAAAGCAGGGGACCUUCGGGCCUUGCGCGAUUGAAUGAGCCGAUGUCGGAUUAGCUAGUUGGCGGGGUAAAGGCCCACCAAGGCGACGAUCCGUAGCUGGUCUGAGAGGAUGAUCAGCCACACUGGAACUGAGACACGGUCCAGACUCCUACGGGAGGCAGCAGUGGGGAAUAUUGGACAAUGGGCGCAAGCCUGAUCCAGCCAUACCGCGUGGGUGAAGAAGGCCUUCGGGUUGUAAAGCCCUUUUGUUGGGAAAGAAAUCCAGCUGGCUAAUACCCGGUUGGGAUGACGGUACCCAAAGAAUAAGCACCGGCUAACUUCGUGCCAGCAGCCGCCGUAA